AUAGCCUGCCAGGACUCCACGUCCACACCGAAGAGAAAAACAAAGAGGACAUCUCCACGUUGUAAAGACGCUGUAAUUUCGUUGUCUCCCGUGGGUUUUAUAAACUGCCGACGCUCCCUUGCCCGGUGGGACGGCCCGCAGGAGGCGGGGGGCGGCCGUCGCGCGGCUGGGCGGCAGUGCGCAUGUGCCUGAAGCGCCGCAGCUCCCGCCCCAGCCUGCGCGCUCGGGUGGCGCGUCCGAGGUUUUAGAAAAUGUCAGUUGAUGAGUAAUAAUAUUUCUUAAACCUGAGCUCCUUUUGUUCAGUCUGUGUACUCAAAAGUUAAAGUCCCGAGUGCGUGAUGUAACGUGGGUACUUAGAGGGAAGAGCUGGAGAGAGGACUCAGCCCGAGCCGGUGCAGAGGCCGCUGGCCCCGCCGCGGAGCCCGGCCCGGCGUCCCGCCUGGGGGCCGCGAAGCCAGGCGACACCCUCAGCCGUCCUCAAGGAGACGUGCGCGGUCUUGUUGUUUUAAGUCACCAGGUCACUUCGUUUGAAUUUCCGUGUUGUGAAGAGAGGACACGAGGAAAGGGCGCAUUGCACUUCGUUCCCUGCCUCCUUUCCCUGGUGUAAAGACUGAGGAGUGUGUGGGGUGGAGCUGUGAGGUCGGGCACCGCCUUUAUGUGUUUAAUUAUUCUUACCGAUCCAGUUCCUCUUGACAUUGGACAGCACAGUCUGUUGGCCAGUAAGUCACAAGAUAAUUUCUGAAGCAAACAACAAUAAAAAACCCACGAGUGUCUUGAUUUGAAAUUCUGUUUUUACUUUUGCCAUCAACAGUUCAGACAGUUGAAUUGGAUUGAGGUUGCAGGAUGCUUUGAAAGCCUUCAUGGAAAGGUGCAAGAAAUGUCUGCAGCCUCCUUGUGUGGCUGUGCCUCUCCAAUUUCUAGAAGAAAACAUCGUGUCCACGUUUCUCAAAGUGAACGGGAUUCACCCUGAAAAUGGCCACAGCGACGAUUCUGAAUACCAGUCUGCUUAACCGACUUCCCCACUAAUAAGCAAAGAACUUACGAAACUUUCCAAAAUUUUCAAUUAGUUACCAUAACUUUUAAUUUAACAAGGAGAUUAAUAUUUUUUUAAUCCAAUUGUAUGUUGUAUUGCUUCAAUCAGGAAGACAGAAAGACUGUUUUUUUCUUUUCCUUUUUUUUUUUUUUGUAAUCUUGUUUUUUUCCAUUUUCUCCUAGUGGUAAGUGGUCUUGAAACUAACAUUGACUAACAUAGUCAGGUUUUAAGAUAACAAAAAAAUAUCUGUUUCUCCAUCUUGUAACUUUAAUUCCAGGGUUAACUUCCUCAGUUUGUUGGUGGAGGAUGCUGCCUUGCUCGGAUUAUCCUUAUUUCCGUGAUAAUGGGCUAAUAAAGGUCACAGUGGAGGCAGGUUUGUUCGAGGAUUGCCAUUUUCAGUACAGCUCCGUGUGCAUUCAACUGCAGCUGACUCUGUUUACGUCACUGAUAUCUUUACCCGCACUGCUGGCUUCAGCCAACUACUUCUUUUGGAGGUACUUUCUCAAAUAAACUUAGAUGCCAAUUCCUUGCCUCAGUGAAUUGUACCAAGGGUUAAUUAAACUGGGCCCUCUCAGAGUAUAAACGUUCAAGGACAUUCAACAAAAGUGAGAGACAUCUUAGAAGUAAGAAAGUGUACCCCGCAUUGUCAGUGAAAAAGCGAAGCUGGCAAUAACACCUAACAAUGCCCAACCAACUGAAAUACCAUGCUAAACGCAGAGCUUCUGUCCCAUAAUAGGAAUCUUAUGAAACGUUCCCAAAAACGGUGGACAACUACUGCCGCGUUUUUCCAUCAAUGAAAUGGGAUCAAUCAGAAUUAAAGAUUUCUUGAUGCUUGUCUGCCUUCCUACAACUAAACUGAGGCUUCAUUGAAUAGGUGUGGACAGCUGAGCAUCCAGACUGACAGAGUGCUUCAGGGUUACCAGUUGCCAAGACCAUGAAGCCACGUGAAGGACAGUCGAGUCUCACUGUGAAAUUUCUUGCGGAGGUUUUUAGGUGUACCCCCACCAACAUAGGCUGUCACCUCGCUGCUAUACAGUACAGUUGGGCUUUAUCUUUGAGUCAAACCACCGUGUCCCUGAAUCAGUUUUCAGUUUCAGGAAGAAGAGCCGAGACAGCAGUUCCUGUGUUUUCAGACGUGUUUAGCAGUUUGGGGAUCUGCCCAGCUGCUGAAGGGCAGCAAAUAAUGGGCCAUGUUUCAGAAGGUGGAACUCAUGCACAACCUGCAAGUCAGUUUGAGGUUUUAGGUUAUUCGACUGUCAACUCUGCAGAUAAGCUGUGCAGCCAGUUGCAAGGCAAGAACUAGUAGUAGUCCUGAUAUUUUCUCUUAAUAAAAAGAAAAUCUCUAUUGUUAAUUUUUUACCAUAGCACUUUCAGAAAGCUUUUAAAAAUUAACCCUCUGAGCUAGCUCUGAUGACGUGGUGGUUAAAGUUCAGCAUGCUCCAUUUUGGUGGCCCGGAUUUGGUUCCCACUUGUGGAACCACACCACUCUUCUGUCAGUGGCCAUGCUGUGGCAGCGGCUCACAUAGAAGAACUAGAAGGACUUAGAACUAGAAUAUACAGCUACGUACCGGGGCUUUGGGGAGGGGGAAAAAAAAAGAGGAAGAUUGGCUAGAUUGGAAGAGGUUAGUUCAGGGCAGAUCUUUCUCAGCAAAAGAAAAAUGAACACCCUCCCCCAAUGAGAAUUCUCUUGAUAAGCUUUCUGUGUUUUAAUCUAAUAUAGCUGCUUGUUAAAUACCAAGUGGUUUCCUGUUAGUCUCAUAAUAAACUUUAAUGGUUUAUUAUGGACCCAGGCUUACUAAAUGCAUUUUGCAAUUAA